rnacentral:lncRNA from 1 species
AGUCCCUGGGCCGCUGCGAGGGCUGGAGGAGCUACUCAAAGACGCCCGCUAAAUGUUAACAGCGCUCAACACUGCUGCUUCAAACGCCUCCCCGGCCUUGUCAGCUUGACACGCGCGGCGGGUCGGAGGCUCACUGGACCAGAAACUUGUCUGGCAGGACGGACUGGUUGGCCCCGCGGCAUUCCAGCCCAGUGUCAUCACCUUGAAAACAGGAGAUGCUUUUGCCUCACUGGGCGUCCAGAGGUGCGUCGGCCAACAAUUCCGAUCACAACCGCAGCGCCGUCUCCCAGAAACUCAGUACUGAAUCUCACAAAGGUCACCACCUAGGAUCCCAACACAGUGUGAGAUGCUAUGGGACGCCGUUGCCCUCCAGCUAGUCUCUGAGCAGUGGUGGACCUUGGGCUGCCAAAGCGGGAACAGGAAGGGCACAAGAUCUGCAUUAAUUCUAGUCUUAAUCCUGUUAGAAGGUGAUUAGUUUUCUUGACAUGUAUCCGCCACCCGGUCAUUACUGACAAGCUAACAAAUGAAAAAAAGAGAGAAACAAAGAGAAAAAAGAAAAAAGGCGGGCCUUCACACAGGACAAGGUUCAGGAGAGCACCCUUAUAGAAAUAGAUCAACUAUGUAAAUUCCUCAAGGUCUUUACUGACACGGUAAAAGUAAGUAAAGUGUUGAAAAUUUACUAACAAAUGAGCAAAACCAAAAGUCAAAUUAGGAUGCAUUGAAAAGCAGAACACAAAGACAUCAUUUUACCUCACCAAACAGAUCUUUGAAGCUGUGCGGUUAGUUUGGGUUGCACGUUUUCAAAAGGAUGUCGAGAAACCAUAAUUUGUUCCUUAUGGGGUGGAUAACUGAAAUGACAGAGAAGAUUUGAAAAUAAGUCCCUACUGAACAGAGAACUAUGGGGUGACUACAUUAAUAAAUUGUCCAAUUGUUUGGAGGAUCGGAAAUGAAGGAGUGCUUGAUAGUGAAGAAGAUAAUCAGAAUAAUGGCUGAAGCCAGUAGUAGGGUUUCCAUCUCUGGCUACUACCCUACCCUGCAUAAAGGAUUAGAAGUGCUCCAUUCUAACUCUCUGGAAGUCAAGAAGCCUGAGUUCUAGUGCUGCCAAUGCCACUAAUUGCAUGGCCUUGGAGGAAAAAAGAGAGUGAGAGGAGUGACAGAGGGGAACAACAGAGGACAGUAGUGCGUGAUAGAAGAAACAGUAUUCCCCAACCCAGGAAAAGUGGGACCAAUGCAAAGACUGCCAAAAUAGAAUGUGAGGUUCUACUUACCUCACCUUCCUUAAGCUCUGCUCCUUCUUGUGUUUUAGCUAAGAG